rnacentral:rRNA from 1 species
AGAGUUUGAUCCUGGCUCAGGAUGAACGCUAGCGGCAGGCCUAACACAUGCAAGUCGAGGGGCAGCACGGUGUAGUCAAUACACUAGGUGGCGACCGGCGCACGGGUGCGUAACGCGUAUGCAACCUACCCAUAACAGGGGGAUAACACUGGAGAAAUUGGUACUAAUACCCCAUAACAUCAGGACCGGCAUCGGUUCUGGUUGAAAACUCCGGUGGUUAUGGAUGGGC